rnacentral:rRNA from 1 species
GACGAACGCUGGCGGCGUGCUUAACACAUGCAAGUCGAACGGAAAGGCCCCUUCGGGGGUCCUCGAGUGGCGCACAGGUUAGUAACACGUGAGUAACCUGCCCUUGACUUCGGGAUAACUUCCGUAAACUGGGGCUACUACCGGCUAGGAAUCCUUGCUGCAUGGUUGGGGUUGGAAAGCUUCGGCGGUUUUGGAUGGACUCGCGGCUUAUCAGCUUGUUGGUGGGGUAGUGGCUUACCAAGGCUUUGACGGGUAGCCGGCCUGAGAGGGCGACCGGCCACAGUGGGACUGAGAGACGGCACAGACGACGACGGGAGGCAGAAGGGGGGAAGAGUGCACAAGGGGCGGAAGCCGGAUGCAGCAACGCCGCGGGCGGGAGGACGGCCUGCGGGUUGUAAACCGCGUUCAGCAGGGGCGAAGCUUGUGGUGACGGUACCUGCAGAAGAAGCACCGGCUAACUACGUG